rnacentral:rRNA from 1 species
CUCUUUAUUUAAUGUUUUAAAGUCUAACCUGCCCACUGAAAAAUUAAAUGGCCGCGGUAUUUUGACCGUGCAAAGGUAGCAUAAUAAUUUGUUUUUUAAUUGAAAACUUGAAUGAAAGGUUGGACAAAAAACAAACUGUUUUUAAUUUUAAGUUUUAACUUUACUUUUAGGUGAAAAGGCCUAAAUAUUUUUUAAAGACGAUAAGACCCUAUAAAGCUUUAUAAUAUAUAAUUUUAAAAAAUUUAUGUAGUUUAAUAAAUGUUAAUUUUUUUUGUGUUAUUUUAUUGGGGUGAUAAAAAUAUUAAAAUAAAAAACUGUUUUUAUUACAUAACAAAGAUAUUUGAUGAAAUUUAUUGAUCCUUAAAUUUAAGAUUUAAAGUUUAAGUUACUUUAGGGAUAACAGCGUAAUUUUUUUUGAGAGUUCUUAUCGAAAAAAAAGUUUGCGACCUCGAUGUUGAAUUAGAAUUUCUUUAUUGGUGCAGAAGCCAUAAAAGUAAGUCUGUUCGACUUUUAAAAUUCU